rnacentral:rRNA from 1 species
CCUACGGGAGGCAGCAGUGGGGAAUUUUGGACAAUGGGGGCAACCCUGAUCCAGCAAUGCCGCGUGAGUGAAGAAGGCCUUCGGGUUGUAAAGCUCUUUUGUCAGGGAAGAAACAGCAGCUCUAACACAGACUGCGAAUGACGGUACCUGAAGAAUAAGCACCGGCUAACUACGUGCCAGCAGCCGCGGUAAUACGUAGGGUGCGAGCGUUAAUCGGAAUUACUGGGCGUAAAGCGUGCGCAGGCGGUUAUACAAGACAGGCGUGAAAUCCCCGGGCUUAACCUGGGAAUGGCGUCUGUGACUGUAUAGCUAGAGUGUGUCAGAGGGGGGUGGAAUUCCACGUGUAGCAGUGAAAUGCGUAGAGAUGUGGAGGAAUACCAAUGGCGAAGGCAGCCCCCUGGGAUAACACUGACGCUCAUGCACGAAAGCGUGGGGAGCAAACAGGAUUAGAUACCCUGGUAGUCCGCGCCCUAAACGAUGUCAACUAGUUGUUGGUAGAGUAAAAUCUAUGAGUAACGUAGCUAACGCGUGAAGUUGACCGCCUGGGGAGUACGGUCGCAAGAUUAAAACUCAAAUGAAUUGACGG